rnacentral:lncRNA from 1 species
GAUUUGUUAGAGGAAAAAAUAGACUUAACAAUGAAGGCAGACUAGACUAUGAGUUCUAUUUAACUGAAAAGCCAAAAUUCAGUCAAUAAAACCAUGGUUUUCUGUCAUGUAUAUAUACAUAUAUGUAUACACACACAUAAAAUAGAAACUAACCCUUCUUUAAACACAAAAGAAACACACUCAUGGAAGCCUCAUUAUUUAAACUGAAAAAAUCAUGACAAAAGAAUGCUCUGAGGGAAGAGUGGAGGAUAGACAGGGCUAUCAUAAGUGUUAUCCCAACUGUGGCCAUACCUGUGCAAGUUCCAAUGCCCUUAUAUCCUCACAAAACAUCUGGAAGUAUAACUCUCAUCCAUGAAAUGGCUGAAAUGUCAGAUGCUGCCAAUCCCCAUAUACACUCUUUCCUCCCUAUACUUCUUAAAUAUUAUAAAAUGUCGCUAGCAAAGGAGGUUCAAUAAGAGAUGAGCAAGUAAUUAAUAACAAAACUUUUAUCAGGGUACCAUAAUGAAAAUUAUGCAGAGGCAUCUCUUGGUCUCUAUGUAUUGUACUGUGCUCUGUUUAUCUUUCCUAUGAUAUGUGAGUUGAUGUUGUGCCUACAAGAUGUGAUCAAUAGGUAUGGUGAUAUUGAGUAUGGCUACAACCUAAGGGUUUCCUGAACACCUUUUCUUCAGUGCUGUAAAAGUGGAGGUGAUUAUUAGCACUGUGCUUAGUUCCUGUUGGGGAGGUAGCAGAUAACCAGCAUGAAUAAGUAGAUGAUAAGUUUUCAGAAUAGACAGGAUCUGAUGUUAUUCAGGAUUCACAACAUAAAACCCAUUGUUUUACUGUUGCUUGUAUGUGAAAUCUCAGCAAAUAAUCUACAUCAUGGGUCGCUGUCGCUAUGAUUAACUGAGUACUAGAAUGGUCUAUAAACCAUUGCAUGUGCUGGAAGACAUUUCCCUAGAGGAUAAGACAGGCCUGGUUUCCUUAAUGCCACUGCUGGAUUUGCCAUGCUCAGCACCAAAGCACAGUUUUAACAGGAACCUUGAGCAACUGGUUACCUAACAGUGUGGUGUAGUAACUCGGGGACAAGGGUCCAGUCAAAUUCCCUAGAUCCACUCCCCACAAGAGGCAGUUAUAAGUACAUGUCACUGGAUAAAGUCUUGAGCGUUUCCCCAAUAAUAUCUAUACCUGCACAAGGGUGUGAUGUUAUCAUCUGCAUCACAGAGCUGUACAGUAGUAUAAUAGAAUGGUGUUUUACGCAUUUCUUAAAAUAUGCAUAAUAGGAUGGACAAGAUGUUCAGAGUAUAAUCUCCAUUACCCCAGCCCUCCACCAGCAACAGUAUGGAUACCCAUUUUUCCUCUAUACAACAUGAAUGAAGAAGCUAAAUAAGUAAAUAGAUAGAUAGAUAGAUAGAUAGAUAGAUGCCCAUAGAAUUGACCUCAGAAAUUUUGUACUUGAUCUAAUAUCACAACCCUUCAAGUCAACCCAAUUCUUCCAUAAUUAUUAAUUUAAAAUCAUAGCAUCCAAUAUAGUUAAUUUCACUUCCUUACGUUAUAUUCUUUUCUAACAUUAUAUUGUCUGUGACAAAAUGAAACUCUUACUAUUUUCAAAAUAUACUUAAUAUUCCUUGUAAAUUUGUCAGCCGUGGUAGCACAUGACUGCAGUCCCAGCAUGUUUAAAACCCCCUUUGUAAAUUUACAUAUAAGACUGUCAUCAUCCAAAUAGACAAUGGAAUUGAAAAAGAAGAGAAAAUGAUGACACUGAGCAACAUAAGGAG